CCUACGGGAGGCUGCAGUGGGGAAUAUUGGACAAUGGGCGAAAGCCUGAUCCAGCCAUGCCGCGUGUGUGAAGAAGGUCUUCGGAUUGUAAAGCACUUUAAGUUGGGAGGAAGGGCAUUAACCUAAUACGUUAGUGUUUUGACGUUACCGACAGAAUAAGCACCGGCUAACUCUGUGCCAGCAGCCGCGGUAAUACAGAGGGUGCAAGCGUUAAUCGGAAUUACUGGGCGUAAAGCGCGCGUAGGUGGUUUGUUAAGUUGAAUGUGAAAUCCCCGGGCUCAACCUGGGAACUGCAUCCAAAACUGGCAAGCUAGAGUAUGGUAGAGGGUAGUGGAAUUUCCUGUGUAGCGGUGAAAUGCGUAGAUAUAGGAAGGAACACCAGUGGCGAAGGCGACUACCUGGACUGAUACUGACACUGAGGUGCGAAAGCGUGGGGAGCAAACAGGAUUAGAUACCCCGGUAGUC
rnacentral:rRNA from 1 species